GUGAAGCGGCAAUAGCUCAAAUUUGAAAGCUGGCCCCUUCGGGGUCCGCGUUGUAAUUUGUAGAGGAUGAUUCGGCGAGGGCUCCCGUCUAAGUCCCUUGGAACAGGGCGUCAUAGAGGGUGAGAAUCCCGUAUGUGAUGGGCUGCCUUAGCCAUGUGAAUCUCCUUCGACGAGUCGAGUUGUUUGGGAAUGCAGCUCUAAAUGGGAGGUAAAUUUCUUCUAAAGCUAAAUACCGGCCAGAGACCGAUAGCGCACAAGUAGAGUGAUCGAAAGAUGAAAAGCACUUUGGAAAGAGAGUUAAAAAGUACGUGAAAUUGUUGAAAGGGAAGCGCUUGCAGCCAGACUUGUCCGCAGUUGCUCAGCUUGUCUCCUGACAGGCGUACUCUUCUGCGGCCAGGCCAGCAUCAGUUCGGGCGGUCGGAUAAAGACCUGGGGAAUGUAGCUCCUCUCGGGGAGUGUUAUAGCCCUGGGUGCAAUGCGGCCAGCCUGGACUGAGGAUCUCGCUUCGGCUAGGAUGCUGGCGUAAUGGCUGUAAGCGGCCCGUCUUGAAACACGGACC
rnacentral:rRNA from 1 species